rnacentral:tRNA from 1 species
GGGGCUGUAGCUCAGCUGGGAGAGCGCCUCGUUCGCAAUGAGGAGGUCGUGAGUUCGAUCCUCAUCAGCUCCACCA